ensembl:lncRNA
UAUCGUUUCUGUUAUUUUAUUUGAAGUAAUUGAUCUGAAUUGUGUUGCAAUUACAAACGCAAACAAACAACACAUUUGAACUUUUUAAGAAUGUGUAAAUACAUUUUAUGAUUGCGCAAUCCAUGCAUUUUUAGCUGUCUUUCAUAUUGCCUGUUUAACUCUCUGGUUUAGGUUGAGUGGAAUUAAACACCAGCUGUGUUUUGUAAAACAAAUGUGGGGCCUUCAAAUCUUGGUAAGUAGACUUUUGAUAUUAUUGUUAGUCAGCUUUAAUUACCUGUAUACGCUUGUUAAUCCUAAUUGUAUUUAGACCAAGUGACCAGCAUCUGUGUCAGUUGGACUGGGCGGUUGUGAACUUAUACAACCUGAGCAGAUACUUUUUGUAUUGAGGACAGCCCGGUGAUGAUACAGAGUACAUUACCAUAAUAGAUUCAGUUACGGACACCCUACCUUGUGGCUGCACAGCGUGAGGGGAUUUUUGUUUCAUUGUUUUCUUUCAUGCUUGAAAGCUGAAGGUAAUACAGUCAACUCAUCAAAACUGUGAUGUAUGUAAAUGUAUGUUUGAGUUAGAAUAGUUUAACCUGAAAAGUGGAUCGUUAUUUACACGUUAAGCUAGAGAAAUGGCGAAAGAUAAUGCUAACAGACCAGACACAGAACAGCCAACAACCUCUACACAUAAUCAACCGACCACACCCCAAAAUACAAAUGAACCAACUAUUACUUCGUUACACAGCAAUGCAGACAAUAAUCCUCAGAUACAAGGCUUGUUAACCUAGCUUAGUAGCCCCCAUUUUUCACACAAUCUAGUUGACUCUUCUUCGAGCUCUCUGAUGCAAACUCAGUGCAGUGAUGGCGAUGUUAGAGUUAUACAACGUAAUGCGUUUCACAAUGUUGAAUUACGACAGUUGAUACAUUUACAAAAUACUGGUGAAGUUGGUGAUUUUGGCACAUUCUAUGCAAGUAUUAUGUCGGGCUUGGAUACUUGUUAGAGCUUCAGACUUUG